rnacentral:ncRNA from 2 species
GAACGAGGAAGCCGGUGUGAAUCCGGCGCGGUCCCGCCACUGUGAUCGGCGAGUGCUUCCCUACAGGCCACUGCCCGGCAACGGGUGGGAAGGCCGGGACGAGCAUCGACCCGAGAGCCAGGAGACUC